rnacentral:rRNA from 1 species
AGAGUUUGAUCAUGGCUCAGGAUGAACGCUGGCGGCGUGCCUAAUACAUGCAAGUCGAACGGAGAUUGUAGCAAUACAUUCUUAGUGGCGAACGGGUGAGUAACGCGUUGGUGACCUGCCCCAAAGUGAGGGAUAACAGCCCGAAAGGGUUGCUAAUACCUCAUGUGGUCUUAGAGAUCAGAUGCUCUUAGACUAAAGGAUUUAUUCGCUUUGGGAGGGGCCUGCGUCCCAUCAGCUUGUUGGUGAGGUAAUGGCUUACCAAGGCUAUGACGGGUAGGGGGCCUGAGAGGGUGACCCCCCACAAUGGAACUGAAACACGGUCCAUACACCUACGGGUGGCAGCAGUAGGGAAUAUUGGUAAUGGGCGAAAGCCUGAACCAGCAACGCCGCGUGUGCGAAGAAGGCCUUCGGGUUGUAAAGCACUUUUUAAGGGGAUGAGGAAGGACAGUACCCUUAGAAUAAGCCUCGGCUAACUACGUGCCAGCAGCCGCGGUAACACGUAGGAGGCAAGCGUUAUUCGGAUUUACUGGGCGUAAAGCGCGUGCAGGCGGUUUGGUAAGUUGGAUGUGAAAGCUCCCGGCCUAACUGGGAGAGGUCGUUCAAUACUACCAGACUAGAGGAUGGGAGAGGGAGGUGGAAUUCCGGGUGUAGUGGUGAAAUGCGUAGAUAUCCGGAGGAACACCAGUGGCGAAAGCGGCCUCCUGGCCCAUUUCUGACGCUCAGACGCGAAAGCUAGGGUAGCAAACGGGAUUAGAGACCCCGGUAGUCCUAGCUGUAAACGAUGUGAACUUGGCGUCGGCGGGUUUAAAUCCGUCGGUGCCGAAGCUAACGCGAUAAGUUCACCGCCUGGGGACUACGGCCGCAAGGUUAAAACUCAAAGGAAUUGACGG